UAGCAAUGAUGACAUACUUAGGACACCUUUGGAUCAUCUGUGAAAAGAAUCAUACCUUCUGAGCCAU